rnacentral:lncRNA from 1 species
GACACAGAGCAGAGGAGGAGCAGCUUGAAGAUGAAGCGUGAUGUUUCAACAUACCCACAAAUUAAGAAACUAAAAUUCACAGAGGUGACGUGAUAUGUCCAAGAUGACUGGAAGCACAGAGCUGAGAUUCCAACCCAGAAACACAAGGUCUGGAUCUUUUACGUAAAGAAGCUAUAAAUCCCCUAAGGUCCCUGGCACAGAGUGGAUUCACCAGAACUCUUGGCUGCCUGGUGAGGUGGAGUCAUCAGGUGGAAUGUGGUAACUGCUGGGCUCUUCCUGACCGCCCUGCCUCCCAUCCCUCCUCUGCUCUUCCAGAGAUUCAGCUGAUGACCAGAGGUGGCCAGGAUUCAGAAUCAUUUCCUUCCUUGCAUUCAGGAGUAGAGUCCCUCGCCCCACCCUUGCUCUUCACAUGCCACUGUUUGAGUAUAAUUUCAGAGAGGCACCUUCCUGUCUUAAAAUAUCUUCUAAUAUCUUCUCCACCCACUGGGAGGAAGGGAGGUGUUGAUGAGGGGGCAAGAGCUCAGGGUAAACAGGCUUGAGUUAGAGCCUCAGCCCUGUCCUUCACCAGCUUUGUGUCCUCCACACCUUACCUUCAACACUCAGAGCCUGACACGCUCCAUCUGCACUACCCUAUGAACACUGGAAAUCAGAAGUAAUGUCUGCAAAGAACUUGUGGAAUAAAAGCAUAUAAACUCUUCCACUUACAACACAUUAGAAAUAAAAUAUUAAG